UGCAACAGGAUGGAAGUAUGCAGCCAACAGAAGGGAAUAGCUGAGACUAUCCUUAGAGUUAGGAAGCAUGAUAAAAGUGUGGCCACUGCUUUUGAAAUUGGCCCAUUUCUCUUCCAUUCAGCCGGGCUCAUUUCAGCCUAUGCCUGAUCACCCUAACAUCAAAGAUGAAAAGAUAUGAGCCAUGUGCAGCAAACACUCAAGUCAACUUUCUCAAAGACCUGAGAACUCUACGAUCAUAUCACCAAGGU